rnacentral:rRNA from 1 species
GACGAACGCUGGCGGCGUGCUUAAUACAUGCAAGUAGAACGGUGAAGGAGGGGCUUGCUGUUCUGGUUGAGUUGCGAACGGGUGAGUAACGCGUAGGUAACCUGCCUGGUAGCGGGGGAUAACUAUUGGAAACGAUAGCUAAUACCGCAUGACAACAGCUAUUGCAUGAUAACGGUUGAAAAGGUGCAACGGCUCGACUAGCAGAUGGACCUGCGGUGUAUGGGCUAGUGGGUGAGGUAACGGCUCACCAAGGCGACGAGGCAUAGCGGACGGGCGAGGGGGGGCAGCCAGACUGAGAGUGUGACCCGGCACAUACGCCUUCAGGUGGCAGCAGUAGGGAAUCGUCGGCAAUGGGCGGGGGUCUGACCGCGCUACGCCGCAGGAGGAAGGAAGAUCGUCGGAUCGUAGAGCUCGGUUGUAGGGGAAGAACGAGCGUGAGCCUGGAAAGUUCACUGUGUGACGGUAACUUACAAAGAAGCAACGGCUAACUACGUG